GAUGAACGCUGGCGGCGUGCCUAAUACAUGCAAGUCGAGCGAACAGAUGAGGAGCUUGCUCCUCUGACGUUAGCGGCGGACGGGUGAGUAACACGUGGAUAACCUACCUAUAAGACUGGGAUAACUACGGGAAACCGGAGCUAAUACCGGAUAAUAUAUUGAACCGCAUGGUUCAAUAGUGAAAGACGGUUUUGCUGUCACUUAUAGAUGGAUCCGCGCCGCAUUAGCUAGUUGGUAAGGUAACGGCUUACCAAGGCAACGAUGCGUAGCCGACCUGAGAGGGUGAUCGGCAACACUGGAACUGAGCCACGGUCCAGACUCCUACGGGAGGCAGCAGAAGGGAACCUGCCGCAAUGGGCGAAAGCCUGACGGAGCAACGCCGCGUGAGUGAUGAAGGUCUUCGGAUCGUAAAACUCUGUUAUUAGGGAAGAACAAAUGUGUAAGUAACUAUGCACGUCUUGACGGUACCUAAUCAGAAAGCCACGGCUAACUACGUG
rnacentral:rRNA from 1 species